CGUGCCCAGGAUCCGAACCUGCGAACCCUGGGCCACAAAAGCAGAGUGCAAACUUAACCGCUACACCACCGGGUAGGCCCCCACAUGUAGUUAUUUCUUCACAAGGAUGCUGGGUCUUGAUAUGCAGGAUUCUGAGUCUGAAAUCUGGCUGGAGUAUCUUCUUAUUUUGUGACCUUGGACAUCUCACUUCGCUUCUGGAUUUCUACCUCCUCAUUCAGUAAUGGAGAGCUCUAACUUUGUGGCUAGAUCUUCCUGAGAGUUCAGGGUGUGGGCAAGGGAGAGGGAUGACCCAGGAGAUGUAUAAAGAGCCAGGUGGUCACCCUGAAGGAAGUUAAAAUCAUUUGCAAAGGAAAUGUCAUACCUCGUGAACGAACACUGGCGGGGGUUGGGGGGUCAGUACAAGCUGGGGUCUCACUAAGAGAUAACUCUUGUGAAGAUUAGAGGAAGGUGAGCUGGCAACAACUGACAGUGUUACCCUCCUCCUCCCCAAGCCCAGCUGAGCCCCAGAGGACACCGUGUUCCGCCCACACGCCCCCUCUGAUGCUGCAGUUCAUUUCAUGAUGAGCCCCUGAGAACUUGGGGAGGGGUCACGAAGAGUUGCUCCCUGGUUUCCUUGUGCUCUGAGUCAAUGGGAGUGCCCGGCAGUGCCUUCUGCGGGAUUCCAGGAGAACUUCUUGAUAGCACAGUGGUUACUAAAUGCUGGAGUCGUGACUGAGAGGAAGAGUAGGAUUUCUGAAAAGCUCCUACGCUGGGAGAAAGGUGUUCAUUUCUGGCACGGCUCAAGUGUCGCUCCGCCUUGAGACUUUCCCCUGCCCUUCCUACUCCUGAGAUUAGGUUGGAUUCAUUCAUUCAUUCACUCAUUCAUUCCUUUACUUAACACACACGUCUGGACUGUCCACCAUAUGUCCGGCGUUGUGCGAAGGGCUCGGGAAAGGAGAACAAAAGAGAGAGUCUUGGAGAGCAAAAAUGCAAGUCUAGCAGAAGGCCUUCUGUGUCCUGCUGGAAAGAAUGGAUUUUCUGCAACUGGCUUAGGGCCGAGUGUUCCUGUUGGGCUUCUGGGAUUCACACCAAGAAGAAAUUCAUCAUAUACUUAAUUUCCAAGAAAAAGGAAAUAAAUCACCAAGCAAAACAACACUGUGGACCUUAUAAAGCAAACACAACAGGAAGACACUGGGGUUGGGUGGAUGAAACGUUCCUCCCAGGCUGCCCGUCUGCUGGGGACGUGGGAUCUCUUCUUACACACACAGAGUUUUGGGAGUUUUCCAAGGACGUUUUGGGAUUUAGUUUCCUAUUCAACUGGAUCAAUCUUCUCCAGAUGUUGGGUAGACCAGAUGACCCCUGAGGUCUCCAUCUGCUUUAAAAUUCAACUAUUCAGGGAUUUUCGGGAUCUGAGCUCAAACUGGAGGAUUGUAUCAAUGUUUAGCAUGGGUGAUGGGAAACAAUUUGUCCUCAGUAGUGACCUGGAAAGGAAGUGGGUUCCUGCUUGGAAGAAAAGUGGCUCUGUGUUCCACACAUUUGUGACAAAGCCUUGUGCUGACACUCUUUGUGGCAGGGUAGAAUUGCUUCUUGAAUGACAGAUGGGUCUAUUGGAUUCAUAGCCUGGUGUCUUCAUAAUCAGGCAGUUUCAAUGAAAGGGUGGCCCCGCAACCUGGGCCUUCAAACCCACAUUGCACAAAGCUUCUAGCACAGAGCCAGUUGUGUUUGUAUAACCUUUGGCAACAUAUUCUGUCAAACUGGCCUUGGUUUUUCCAGCAGUCGGCUGUGGCUUUGUGUUUCAGCAAGACCAGACCCCGGAUCCCCUGAGUAUCAGAGUAGAGGUAUGGUUCUUAAGCCUUCUUGAGCAUCAGAAUCUCUUCAGUGCUUUAAAUAAUUUAGAUUACUGGGCUCUACUCCUUCAUGUUCAUUGCAGCUGGUCUAGGGUUGGGGCAGGAAUCUGUGUUUUUAACCACCUCCCUACAUGAUUUUGAUGCCCAGCUUGGGUUGAGAAUCAAGGCCUGAAGCCAGCGAGUCUCUAAGUGUAGUGUCCUUGGCAGAGUCCCCACUCCGGGGAGCUUGUUAAACAUGCAGACCCCUGGGUCCCUCCCCAGAAUGAGAAUCUGCGUGGGUAAUUUUGAUGCACAGUAACAGGGAAGAACUCCUGUGCUAGGCCUUGUCUCUUCCCUGGACCUCCACGAGCCCUGGUGCUUCUGUAAAGAAAUCCUUCCCGGGAGUUUAUUGGAAGUUCCCUAAGUGAAUUCAUCCCUCGAGAUGUAGGUUGGACCUGCCCCAUGUUGGCUGAGAUUGGCUUGGGGUGGGGCCUUGAACAGAGAAUAAAAUAUGUUGGUUAAAUCAUUUACUCUUCCCCCAUCUGCCUCCUUUCUCUCUCCCACCCUCUGCCCACAUCACCACCCUAAAUCCUACAGAAUAGAGUCAUGGGAUAGAGGAGCAGGAUAGAGGGCCCCUAGCUUUCUCGUGGGCCAGGGGGACACAGGUCACCUUGGUCAAAGUUUGUCCUGGGCUUUGUCCCCAGCCUCGUCAGCGAUCUAAGAGAAGCCAGCUGGACCUUCUCCUGAGGUGAUUCACUUCCGUAUCUCUGUUCCCUUCAGGACAACCCCACGGACUUGAGUCUUUUCAAUUACACGGUGGGUCAUGAAGUGCUUACUGUGUACCCAGGCCUGGCUGUGAAUACAGAAGUGGGUCGACCUGUACGGAGAGUCUAUCCUGAUGGGUGGGAUUACAACCUGGAGUGAGAAUGCUUGGGUUCAGGCCUCACUCUGUCGUUCACUAGCUGUGUGACGUAGGGCAAGUCACUUAACCUCUUUGAACCUCCAUGUCCUCAUGUUUGUUUACUCACAUCUAUUCAACCAACAACUGUUUGCUCAGUACUGACUCACAAUGGGCUGGACUUGACCGCACGUCAUUUCUGAGAGCUGAGUACAGAGUCCAGGAUGGACCAUGUCAGGAGGACCUGAGGAUGAGGCAGAGUUCCUUUAGGUAGCCCCUAGGACGAGGACUGAAGGAGAUCCAGCGUGUGGAGUGCUUAGAACAGGCCAGCACAGUCAGCACUGGCCACUCUGAGUACCACCGUUUCCCACAGCCGAGGGGCCAACAGGCUCCUCUCUGUACCCACUGUUAGAACCCUGGCUUUUAAACAACAGAACUGUCACGCGUCCUUCUGUCCACUGAAGUCCUUUCUAAAAUCAACAUGCAGCAUGGAGGGAACUGACAUCAGUUGGUUAGCUUCUCUGUGCCAAAAGUCUCUGUGAGGUAUUUAUUGGAACCUGCUAUGUGCUAGACACAAAAUGAAUAAGGAGCUUUCAGUGAAGUGAGAGAGGCAGGCAAAUAAAAGGCAAUAUCAGACGUAAAACUGCUUCAAAAAAAGUCUAUUUUAAAAAAAGGCAAUAUCGACAUUACUCCAAAAUGGCUGUGCAUGGAGGUGUCACAAUAACCCCCAGAAGGGGACUUCACUCAGAUAUGGGGCCGGGAGCAGCUGGAGGAAGUUUUCUGGGAAGAAGCCAUGUGGGAGGGGUGACUAGAAGGACGGCAGUACCUAGGUGAAGGGGUGGAGGUUGAGGGGGGAGCUGGAGAGAGGGUACUAGGUAGACAGCAAAGGAUGUAUGAAGACUCUAUAAACCAAACAUAUGGAAGGUCAGGGGAGGGUGUAAUUAAUUUUGCUUGAGGGCAGAGGUUGAAGACAAAGUCUUCAGGGAGGGGCUGGUGUUUGGGGCAUUGUGGGAUGAGUAGGAGUUUGAUAAGCAAAGGUUGAGAGCACUCUGAGCAGAAGGAGUGGCAUGAGCCAAUAAAUGCAUGGUAUAUUUAGGGUGUGAUGUUCAGGCCACCAUGUCUAGACGAAGGUACAAGAGAAUGGGACUUGGCGUGAUCAGGCAUCCGAGAGGAAGAUCUGGGCAGCGGGAUUGCUAGGAGGAGAUGGUGGGUUGCAUGAGGGAGGUGGUGCAGGAAUGGAGAGGUGUGGAAGGUUAAAGAGGCAUUGGAGAAGAGGGCGGUGGGUCUUGGCAACUGACAAGUGGGAGUAGUUGAGAGAUGAAGCCAUUGGAAGAUGGCCCUGGGUUUGCAUUUUAGCGACCUGCUCUGCCACAUCCUAAUGCAGACUUUAUUAACCCUCCAAGGGAGCCCCAGCCAUUUAUCAAUUUGUAUCGGGGAGCAAGCUUGAGGGCGUGUGUUCAAAAAUGAGAUAGGGACCACCACAUUCCGAUCUCUGCCUGGCUAGCUCUAGUGUACACAGUAAUGCACAGUGGUUUCUCCCUGCGCCCAUAGUACAAAUGAGAAAACUGAGGCUGGGAGGCUGCUGAAGGCCACAGGGCAGUUAGGGUCAGCGCCAGGGCUGGAAGCCAGGUGCCUGGGGCACAUCUUCUAGAACGUUCAUCCUUGUGGAUAUACUCUGUGGAAGGGGCAGGGUGAAAAGUGGUGGCCUUUUGCACCUCUUUCUUUAUAAAUCACACCAAAAUUGGAUGGGCUUCAGGGAGCUUGGGGGGAAGCUCUGAAGUGUCUUCGCUGCCAAAUGUAUAACUGCCCCCCCCCCCACCGCCCCAUCUCCUAGCGCAGCUCUGAUGGCUAAGCAGCUGAAACUAACCACAUGUCAAGUGGAGGGAUCCUCAGCCCCUUAUGGGGCUCACCUGCUCCUAAUUAGGGCUGAAGCAAGGAGGGGAGCGGGGCUCCACAAGGCAGCAGCCCACGCCUGGUCCCCAGACUCGCAGGUGUGGGGAGGCAGCGAAGGGAAGGGAAGGCUUUGGGGCCUCAUUGCCCCUUCUGGGAGCCCCCAGGCCUCCCACCCCACCCAUGAUUCUACUCUAUGAUAAACGGGAGGAGCUGGAAACGCUGUGGUGCUGGCAAGUCUCUCAACCAAGGCAAACACUCCUUACUCCCUUUUGGGGGGCAUCCAGUCCAGAGGGUUUUAAGCUCAUUGACUCCACUUGUCCCCACUUUGCAAACAGAACCCUCUCCUUGAAACUUACCUUGAAAUUUAAGAGAACAAAUCCAUCUCAUAGGGCAGUUUCUUUUCAAGGCUGACACCUCAUCCCUGUAGGUUCUGAAAAACCCCUUCCUACUCACUUCCCACAACUCCCACCCAUCCCCUCAUCCAUCUUACAGAUAAGGGAAUAAGCCCAGAGAGGUUGAGUGGCCUGCCUGAGGUCACACUGUGAUUUGGCCUCUGGGCCUGGGCAGCAGCACUGGACCGCUUCUCUUCCCACCAGGCCCCUCAUGGCACAUUUCCUCCCUUAGGCCGCCUUCUGAAUUCCCCUUCCUGCCCAGGGCCCUCGCUGCUAACUACAAAGGUAUAGCAUCUCCAGGGGUGGCCACAGUCUAGCCAGCCACCCCGGGGAGCUCGUGAGCUUUCUGAACCUAAAGGAUGUGACUCAGGACCACAGACAGCGGAAGAGGCACUUGAUGCAAAGGGUCCGUUUCCAGUCCCUUCCAGAGAUGCUGCCCUGUGGGUACCUGUUCCUGAAUUCUAACUGCUGAAGGGGCUGUCCUGCCCCUGGGGUCCUUGGCCCACGGGGAAGUUCCCGCCACCAGCCCCGCUGGCGGACCUCAUCUCGAAUGGAACUGGAAUGUGAGAGAAGAAAUGAGGGUCCAAAGGCCAAGGCCGCCUCCUACCCUGAAAUUCCUCCUGAUCCUUUGGUCUCAAGUUCUCUCCAUCAAUGAGCUGUGCUGUUGGCUCACUGCAGCUUUUUAAACAACAGCUCACUUCCCCCUUCCCGGCAGCGGGUGGAGUGGAAGAGUCUCGAACCUCUGCCUCCCUGUCCGCCCUGUGCCUCUAGGCUCAGUUUCCUCCUCUAUGAAAUAUGAGAGUGGGGCAGGAGGGUCUCUCCACCACCCUUCAGCUCUCUCACUUGAGGGUUCCCAAGGAAGGGGAGAAGGGAGACGCCACUGACGGGAAGUGUGGGAACCACGAAGAAAAUCCCCAGUCCCUGCACAUGCGUGCUUUUGCGGGGGUGGGGGGGGGUACCUCUGGGAGGGGCUACGGUCUCAAGGUUCCCCUCAUCUCCUCCACCUCUCUCCCAUGGCCAGUGUGGCGCUGCCCGGGCUGGGCCUGGAGGUGGGCCCUGGAGGAACAUGCGCAGUGGGCUGCCUUCCUUUCUCCCCUGUUGACCUGGGAAGGGGGUGUGCAGGGACAUCCACAGGUCUGAAGGAAGCCCUAAAGAACUUGCUUAAGGUUCACUGAGAGGCAAGUGAAAGUAACAGUGACGAUGACAACCUCGACGUCAAGACCAAUAACAGUAGUAACAGUAAUAACCGGCGCUUGCGUGGCUUUUGGGGGAGACCCUACACUGUCCCCAGUGCUUUACCUAAGUGAACUCUGGCCCAGGGGCCUGUCUUUCCUCAUGUCCUGAACCUGCUGCCUGAGGGCGACACCGUGCUCACUGCUGGGCACCGGAUAGUCUCAGGUUUGGGGAGCUGGGAGCCGGUGACCUCUGAGGUCCCCCAGCUCCCACUAUCUGGGAUCCUGCAGCUCUGAACCAGCCCGCACGCCCUGGGCUGGAUGCUUGUGUGGAGCUCCCCCCCCCCCCACCCCCCCACCCAGCUAAGGGAAAAGAGAGGCUGGAAGGCAAGUGCUGCCCUCCUGGGUCAGGUCCCCCUCACACUCUCCCCUGCCCGCCUCUCCAAGUCUCAGGGGAACCCCAGAGCCAGCCCCAUGGUGGAAAAGGAAGGAAAAGGACAGAGGGAGUCUUAGAAUGCAAGCCCCAACUGGCUUGGUUUUCUUUAUCUCUCAGAAAUAAAUCCACCGCAGAGAACGUCUUUGACUCCUGGGUUCCUCUGGCUGUGUGUGGGAGUGUGGUGAAGACUUGGGGUGGACACAUUACGGGGUCUCAGUCUCCCCAUCUGUAAAAUGGGGACAAUACCAUCACUCUGCCCUCCCCGUGGAAGGGGAGAAGGGAAGCAAAGUUGUUCUGAACUGAGGAGGGAUUACUGUCACUGCAGCCUGGCUUGGAGAUAAGGCCAGGUGCGUCCUCUGUCGUCCGCAGCUGACACCAGGUUUCCAUCCUGACUUGCUGUUCUGGCUCUGGUCUCUGAAGAGCCAGGCUCCCCUGUCUCAGGACACGAGGGCAGGCGCAGCCCCAGGAGACAGUUACCUGUGCCCAGGCAGUGCUGUGCUCCUCCGCCUCCUCCCUCCUGCCUGGGCCUUCGUCCCCGCCAUCACGGGCGCAGGCUGCCCCUUGCCCAGUGUCCCAAGGCUCAUAGCUGCAUCAAUGUUUGGCCCUCUCAGGGUCUUCCUAUUUCCAGAGAGGCCUCCUGGAGGGGAAAAAAACAUACUGUAAAAUUCUCAGGAACAAAAUGCCAGCGGUGGGAUUUCCGGGACCCCCACUGGGAAGGUGUUUUUGGAGAGAGGCACUUCUCCCUGGCUCUCUGCCCCAGGGUUCAGCUCAGGCACCAGCAGUGCCUGCCCUCCCCUCAGGCCUCAUAGAUGAGAUGCUCUUCAAGGGCCCUGUGGCCCGCCUUCCAGAGACCCUGGGAGACAGAGCUGUGUGGACGGUGCAGGCUCUCCCCGGUGCCAUCUCCGUCUGCAGGGCCGGGUGGCUUUGGGAGGCUUGGUUUUUCAACAAGAGGCUGUGAAGAUUUCAAACACAGCAAAUUUUGGCAUCUGAGCAGCUGGAUCCCUGGCAGCAUAGAUCCCUCCACUGUCUUCCCUUCCUCCUGAGACGGGCAGGCCCCAGGGAGGAAGGGGUCCCCCAGAUCUGCAGCUGGGGAGGAUCAGGGCAGGACAGGAGCCCACACGGGGCUGGUGCAGUCAGGGCCUCACCCUGAGGGCUGUGUGCAGCUUCAGAUUUACCGCAGAGCUCAGAGCCCCAGGCCGGGCCCCUGCCGGGCCUGGGUUUCUGCAAACCUGUAGCUUCCAGAGAUGAGAUUUUUUUGCCAAGAGGAAUUCUUCUCCUUAUAUGUCAUUUAAUAUUUUAAAAUCAAUUAAUACAUUCAUCUAGUGUCAGUCUCUUAUUUUCCCAUUGUUGAUUUAGCCUACUGCUGAAGAUAAAAUCCUGCCGACCCACACUUUCAUGUUUUGAGUUUCCAGCUUUCCUAACCAUCCUCCAUCUAUUGUCCAUCUCCUUUGAUGCCCCGCCGAGGUGUGAUUUCCUCUGUGUGCAGGGAAAGAAAGAGAGGAUCAUGGAGCUUUGGUUUCCCUCCUGGGGAAGCGGCAGUGGAAGUGGACAGAGCCUGAGAUGGCUCACUCUCCCUGGCCCCUGGGUCUGGAACCUCAGGCACACUCCAGCCUGCUGGGCCAGCAGGACCAGGUCAAAGAUCCACCUCGUACCCUCCUUCCUCUCACCGUGCUAGGCCAAGAUCAGGUGGAGGGCCCAGCCCAGGCUGGGAUAGGAGCUGGCUGGGCGAGCUGGGCAGGCCAGAUGAUGGCUGCCCAAGAGGGAGACAUGGUUAGACCCCGUCCAGCUGCAGGAGGCGGUCAGCCCAAGACAGAGUCAAAGUCAAAUUUUCAAAAUGUUGGAAACAUUCUCCUACAAAUAUUUAGUGAGCAAGAGUCAAAGAUAUUUAAGCCAUUAAUGAGGGAACCAGCAGAGUGAUACACCCAGUUCAAAAGAGGAAUAAAAAAUAUACAUACACACACACAUCAAUGGAAAAAAAGGGAUGCUGAAAUAAGGUUGCUAAGUUAGAUACAAAGCUGAUUCACGUUCAACAGAGCAAUAAAGCAGUAACCUUUGGUGUUAUAUUCUCCAGUGGACAAAAGUCAUUUGCACUUUAUCAGUUUUCUAACGAGAAUGUCUAACUUUACAGAGACUGGGCUCUACCAAUCGGAAGUAGUAAGUCAAACAAAGUUAUAUUGCCCUAGAAAGCCCUGUGGCUCUUAGGCAGGACAAUGUUCUAAUGUGACUUUGAAAGGAUGCACAGUCUUCUUUUUGCCUUGUUUCAAAAUUUGGGAUUUUUUUCUUAACAGCAGGCAGAAGCAGCCAGGAGGUGAAACUGAGGGAUUCUAGCCGGAGAGAGCCAAGAGGGAGAUGGCACAGCAGGGUGUUUCCCCUCCAAGCCCACUGCCCCCUCCUCUGGCCCUGUCCCACCUACUUGGUCAUCCCUCCCUCCAUCUAGAACUCCACUCAGGUUGUUAGAGCAACCUGGUCACUUAAUGAUGGAUGUGAGUCCCAGAGAGCUGGGCAUGCUAAGUCCUCAUCUGGGGCUCCCUGCAGGCGCUCCAUCUUCCUGAGGACCUGCAGGUGGGUGUGUAUUUGCACAUGGGACUCCAUUCCUUUUCAUCACAGGGACUCUCUCCUUCAGGGCUCUGCCCAGUGCUGGGGCUGGAGAGCCUCUUCCCUCCUGAGACCCCUCUGGCCCCUGUUUUCUAUCCUCUCCCAAAUCCAUUACUCUUUCAUUGAAUUUUUUUCCAUGGACAUAUACCCCCCCACCCCUGCGACACAGGCCCACACAUAACACCCCCAUAAAAGCAAACCCACUCCCUCAGAUGCUCUGUGAAGCAGCACCUCUUCCCAGUAGAAAGGGGGCCGUCCCUACCUUCCACUUCUUCCCCCCUGGACCAAGGCCAGUCCAUUCUGCACCUUUGCAUGAGUUAGUGGUUUUCCUUCCCCCCUGUGGAUGCCACCAGAGCCAGGGCUCACGCAUCCCAGUGCCCUGCUUCAGCCCCACCACUCCCUUGCAGGACAUCUUUGUGCCCGGCACAGAUAGCACAUUUAUGUAGAGUGGCCCCAUUCCCUCCCCAUCAGAGAUUUCCAGAGUCACCUCCAAGGCUCCCUUCAACCUCUUGGUUGGCAAACUUUUGAAGUCCCCAUGGGAGAGAGCCCAACCAGUACUGUCACGUGUUCUCUUAGAUCCUGCUCACCAUGCUGGUGCUGCCUCCUGUCUCCUGGGUUGGAGAAUAUUGUUCUCCAGGCAAUGUGGUGUCAGGGGCCAGGAGAAACCCACCCACCCUACUAAUUACAGGGCUGCCUUCUGGGCCCUAAGUCAAACUGCACAGAAAUGAGAGUUACAUUGUAGAUUCUCUUGGGAGAUUAGGUGUAAGUGACUGAUGACAAAUUGUCCUGUCUGGAGGGUUCUGGGCACUAGGAAGACUCUGUGUGUGUGUGUGCACGCGCACGCGUGUGUACACAUUCAGGGUGAGGUUCUGAAGAGGAAGGCGAUGCACAAGUGUGUUGAGGCUGAGACUGGGAGUUUCCAUGUUGGCUCUGCUGACUCUGGUGUACAGACAACAGCCUCUGGAGCCCCUAAGUUCCCCAGAUUCUGCUGACAGGCUGAAGGAGGAACUAGUCCUGUUUUAAAAUGCACAGAGAGAAAAUCUAAAUACAAGCCCCACAGCCCCUCAUCUGGAAGUGUCAGCUCUCACCCCCUGGAGUGUGAGCUGAGCGCUCACCACCUCCUCCCAGAGCUCUCUGCCACUCCCCCCUCCCCUGGGGCUCCGCUCCUGCAGUUUUGGCUGGACCCUUUGGUGGUAAUUAAUUAAUAAAUCAGUCUUUGCCUCCCUCUUGGAAAAGUGAUUUUCUUCCCUCUAUAGGUGAUGUGUUUCAGUUCAACCCAGCGAGGUGUCUGGGGCCGGAGGAGCUGCUUUUGUUAAUACAUGCCAAGAAGAUGGUAAUGUUGUCCCCAUAAAGUGAGGGGACAGGGCUACCUGACCUCCUGGUGGUGUCUGCCAGCCCUGACACUCUGACCGCAUGUCCACAGGGAGGAACUUCCAGGCCAUCUGGGCCUCGCUCUUAGUCGUUUUGCCAAAAGGAGAUAUUAGUGUCCCCCCACAGCUUCAUCGGGGCUUGGCAGCAAAUGCCUUGGCCCAUUGGUUCAGGGGGGUUGUUCUCAUGCUUGAGAAGGGAAUGGCUACCCAUGGCACCAGAGUUUAUCCUCUCCUGGCUGUCUCAGUGCUGGUGAAACAGGCUGAAUGAAAUUCUUUCCCAUCCUUGUACAAGGAUCCGUAGACUCUGACACUCUGGCUACUCUUUAAUCAUCAGCAUUGUCAUCAUCAUCACCAUCACAUCUGGCAUUUGUAUAAUCUGAUGGUUUACCAAGUACCACCACAUAUGUAGUCAUCCUAUUUGAGGCACAAACUCUCGCUAUGAUGGAGUUGUGGCAGAUAUAACCAUCAUUGUUUGAUAGGAAGCGGUGGCUCAGAGGAGUUAAUAUCAAUUUUCUUCUAAGGCCAGUAAGUACUGGGGCCAGAACCAGAAUCCAGGUCUCUUUCUAAGGUAUCUUAUGUCUUGACCCCAGAUCCAUCCAUCCAACUAUCCAUCCAUUCAUCUUUCCAACCAACCAUCUAUCCCUUCAUCCCCCAUCGAUCCAUUCAUCCUUCCAACCAACCAUUUAUCCAUUCAUCCCCCAUCCAACAGAUAAUUACUAAAAGCCUAUCUCAUGCCAAGCAUGUAGGAGGGGUAGAGUAUGAGCAAAAACAACCUGUUCUCUGACCCCAGGAGCUGUCAGUCAAGUGGGGAUUCUCUUCUCUGUAGAAUGAAAGAGGCAAAAUGUGGAGAGGGAGCCUGGACAUGAGGUUCUCGGAGGAACAUUUUGUUUUCUCUUCCCACCAUUUCCUCUUUCCUUCUGCCCACAGCAGAAUGGAUUUAGGUCAUUUUGGGAGCCCUCCACCUUCGGAUUUCUAGAACUUUGUUAUGGCGAGAGGACUUGGGUGGUAGAAGAGCAGCUAAGCACCAGCUGAAGGCAGGGGGGCACUGCUGGGCGCCGGUGCUGACCGGGAACUUUGCAAACACGUCUCAUCUGAUCCAUCCCUCACGACCUCCCCAAGGGGAUGCGUAGUGAGGGGAUCCGGGACAGUGGGCCAGGUCAGGGAAGCAGUGAUUUCUGGCGAUCUCAUGGCAGUGAUAUCCUAAUGUGCCUUGUUAGUCCAGGGCCCUGGUCUGGCCGGCUCAGUAGACAAGUUUCUUGAUGACCUGUGGUCCUCAAUUUCAGCGUCCAGCUGAGUGGGCAUGCAGGGUGGGGUCUUACAUUAAGUCCCCCACCCUGUAGUUCCCAUGCAGUGCUCCAGGGGCCACCCUGAAGUCAGGAAAGCAGCUUUUCCUCGGGACAGUGGAGGCCUUUGGGAGCAAGUCUAGUAUCACAACAACACUUAGCUGUGGGGACAGGGCGUUUGUACAGAACUUGCAGUAUUCCAGGAUUUGUACUGGAGAAACUUGUCCAAACUUUGGUGCCCGAGUCCCCUCAAGGCUGUGCAAAACAUGGGCACUCCUGUGCUUCCAACUCCAUCUGAAUGCAGGUCUGGGAGGUGGAAGGUGAGGAAGCCUCACUAGACCGGAGGAGGUCUGGAGCUGAGCCAGGAGGUCAACUGAGGGGUGUGAGGGCCCACUGAGUGGGAACAGACAGAAACCCCAGGUGGCUUCCGUUGUGGAAGCAAAGGCCAAGACGGGGGAGGAUUCCAGUAUCUGCCAUUGAGGACUUCUGAAAUCUCAGGGUUCUGUCACCCAAAAGCAGACUCUUGAAGCAGAAGGUGACCUUAGGGGUAACCUAGUGACAGGGACCACCAAUGUGGGGCAUGCAGGCUGCCCGCCUGGCUCCUGGGAUGGGGGCAGACAUACUUAAUCGACCUUGGCAGCUUCUCCCCCAAGCCUAGAGUUCUCAUACAGUACCGCAGGCCAGGAUGUUCCAAGAUUCAAGCUGGCACAUGAGUUCCACACAAGUCUCUUUGCCAAUCCCGACCUAGAUGAACUUCCCCAUCUGACACAUGAAGAAUAUGAGGCCGAGAGAGGGAGAGCAGCUCACUCAAUGGUUAUUUAGAAUCAUGGCUGGGAAGUGAAAGAAGGUAGCUGCGUAGUAAGUUGGUGUUGUCAAGGGAUGCUGGCCAGGUACGUUUGAGAAAUCCUGUAUGUAAUAUCCCCUCUCUCUGGAAAAUUCACCACUCGCAGAGUAUUUUACAGGCUUGGAACUUUUUUAACCCGCAGCUUCGUAAAUGCAUUUGGUCCUGGGACCCUUUCUUGCUGUAGAAGCUGUUCAAUCCUGCAAGACGAUUUGUUCCUGAAACACAUGCUGGGGCCUGCAGGUUGAGCAGAAACAGAUUAGGCAGCAAGACACCGGUGCACUUUUUUCAGGUCUUUCCCGGCCAUGAUCAAGGGCACGGGAGGCGCAUGAGGUCGGCGCUAAAUAAAGCUGUCCUCAGUCUGGGUCUGCGGCCUGGUUGAUUUGUGGCUUCUUUUUGCCCUGGUGGUUUAGGCUUCGCAGGUCAGGGCGUGGGCUGUGUGCAUGCGGCGUGGUUACGGGCCUGCUCACCAAGCCUGGUCAACAAGGAAAAGUGGCUCUUUUGGAAGGUGGUUUUAGGAUAAACUAAAGAAAGUUCCAUUUUCCAGAGUGAGAAGUAAACCUGGAGAACUCCAAGAGACGUGUUUGUGUGGAGAGGUGGGUGUGAGUGAAAAUUUAACACCCCACUUAGGGGCAGUCAAAAACAGAUCUAAGAACACAGAGGCUUAAAAAAAAAAAAGACAUGAAACACUAAAAUAGCUAUCAUGGCGCUCGCGUGCUUAACUCUGGGGCAGUUUCUUGGAUUUCUUUCAUAGUUUAUCCACUCUUAGUUUACAAAGAGUUCUACCGAUGGUGACGCUCAGUCCACAACAGAUUGGAAAUACCCAGUUGGAAGCAAGAGGACAGGCUCGGGGACAACAGAAAUGGUAACUGAGAGGAAUGGGUCCAUAAUCGUCCUAUAUCACGACUCACCAUUAGGUCAUUCUGACCACAGGGAAACAGGGAAGGGUACAUCGUAUUUAGUCACUGUUUAAGGAGCCAGGAAAGUAAGUGUGUGAGCGCUUGGGGAAGGUUUCCUUGUUAAACUAUGGAGGCCAAGUGGGUACGUUUCUGUUCUGCGGAAAAUUCACUCAAGUGAAUCUUUCCCAACCGUGCUGAUAAACGAAACUUCACAGUAAGUUCUAAAUGCUCUAGAUAAAUUCCCCUGGGACACACACAUAAUAUGUUAUAGGAAGCAAAGUGUGUUGGAGUCAUCUGGUUCAAGAGCUUCGUUUUGUAGGCACCAAAAGGGAGGUGGAGUGGAGGGAGCCACCCGGCUAGAGGCCCACAGCUGGUGGAGGUAGGGACAGUUUCCCGGUGCUGGUCCAGCAUUUGCUCUCAUCAAGGCAACCAUGGGGGCUGGAUUAUUACACACCCUGAAGCCCCUGCAGACAUAGACUUCCAGAUGGCAAGGACUUGGCCCCAUGCAGGGCCUUUCUUGGGUCCUCUUUAUGAUUCAAACUCUAUUCAAACCAGAGCAGCUCUCUCCGAAAAACAAAAUGACCACUUUUAACCAGUGACCACUCUGUUCCCCUCUUCUCUCCGGGGUCUUCAGAAAGCACUCUGGCUUCCCUGCCCUCUGCUGAACUUCUUGUGUUGUCCUUUCUCUGCUCCUGCUUCUACCCGACUCUCUGUGCCUCCUCUUGCUGGGGUGGGUCAGGCUGGUCAAGUCUGGGUGGGCACUGGGUUGAUUCCUGCUUCGACCCUCACCCAGAAUGUCUGGCUCCUCCUUCCCAUCACUGUCUAAAUCUCCCCUGUCUUUCUUAGCCACAAUUAAGCCCCCCACAGCCUUCCCUAAUAUUUCCAGACCCUCUGACUCUUUCCUCUUCCUGCCUCCCACCCUGGGGGGGUGGAGCUGCCACGGGAAUGGGGCAUUGUGGGAGAUUAAGCCAAGAUAAGUGUCUUAGGAAACUGACUCCAUCAGCCAUCGCUGGUCUGACAGCAAAUGACAGUGGUUAGAGAUGGGACCCUGCCUCUGUGUCCUCAGGUGGUGUGGCUGGUUUCAUAGAAGCACUGGCAUAUGUGUUCUAUUUUCAGUGGAACUUGAAUUUAAAGCUUGUGGAUUUUAGGCUUUCUGUGAAACGAAACACUAACCCUUCUCUGAGUGAUGGAAAUAGGCCAGUUCCAUCUGUUUUUUUUUCCUAUAGGACAAUGAGUCGAUCAGCCCCCAUUCAUAAGCACUUACAUGUGGAAUAUAAGACUAAGGAGAGAUGAAGGAAAUGUGGGAGAACCGGGACUCAGAGUUCCAGACGGGCUCCGCUCAGGUUUCUGUGGCGCCACUUCUGAGCUGGGUGCCCUUGGUGUUGGUAGUUAAUUUCCCUCAUCUGUAAAACAGGGAUGUGAAUGCCUCACAGGGUAUGAUGAUCAAAAGAGAUGGUGAAUAUAAAUCAUUUAGGAGGCACUCAGUGAAAAGGAGUGAUUAUUCUAUUAAAGGAGAUUUUUAUUGACUUGCACCUCCACCAUUGGUAAGAAAGUGGUCGCUGAAAUUCUUGAAAUACCUCGCAUUUCAUAAUGGUCUGAGAGUGUGACAGACUGAGUUUGGAUUGGGCUCUGCUUUUGCCAGCUGGGUGGCUGAGGAUGAGAUUUCCUGCCUCACAGGGCUGAGGACAAAAUGGCGCCAGUCAUGGCUCCAUAAAUGGGGGCCACCACUUCUUUCUUCAUUAUUUAGAGUUUACUGUUCACCGAGCACAUCCUCCUGGGCUGUAUUUCACAUGAGUUAUCUUGCUUAGUCUUGAAGCGGGAGACUGGGAUUCUAGACCCAGUGUCUUCACUCGCAGCGUGUGACCUGGAGCAUGUUCUUUAACAGCUCUGCGCUCUGUCAGGUGGGAAUGGCGCUGUGGCUCUUUCAGGAGACCGUUGGGAGAAUUAAAGGUGAGGCUCAGGGCACCUAGCACGGUGCCUGGCUCACUGCAUGCUCCCAGUUCAAGGUGGAAGUGACAACACUGAUGUUAUUGCCAUUACUCCACACUUGGAGUCCUCAUUUCUCACGUGUGUUGGACCCACUGCUUCCUAACUGUGCUCUGGGGGAACCUGGGGCUCCUGGGGGCCUCCUGGGGCAGGCCCUGGUGGGGGCAGGGGUGGUUGGCACAGCCAAUUCUCCCAACUUUCCUUCAACCUGAGCUGUUCUGCUUGGUCUGUUGACAUGUUAAAAUAUGUUUGCACACCCCUGACUAAUGGUCACCCAGGCACUUUCUAGGCUAAGUGCUAUAAAGAGCUUGGGACAUGUUGAUCUCCAGAUUAUGUCCUCUCUUCAUCCCCUCUUCCUAAGCCUGCCCCUCACCCCCACACCACACACAUACACACACCAUACAAUAUACAUACUAUACACACACU